rnacentral:rRNA from 1 species
CAGUCGCCACGGGAACACGGAGGGUGCAAGUGUUAAUCGGAAUUACUGGGCGUAAAGCGCACGCAGGCGGUCUGACAAGUCAGAUGUGAAAUCCCCGGGCUUAACCUGGGAACUGCAUUUGAAACUGUCAGGCUGGAGUCUUGUAGAGGGGGGUAGAAUUCCAGGUGUAGCGGUGAAAUGCGUAGAGAUCUGGAGGAAUACAGGUGGCGAAGGCGGCCCCCUGGACAAAGACUGACGCUCAGGUGCGAAAGCGUGGGGAGCAAACAGGAUUAGAGACCCCUGUAGUCCCUGUCUCUUAUAC